GAAAAAUCAAAACCUAACUAAAAUAAUAAAAUCAAUUUGACUCGGCUCAAAUUGAUUCAAUACAAUUUUCUUUUAUUCGGUUGAUGACCCCAUAACCGUCCAAACCUCUACCAUCUAUAACAACUACUCCCUAUGCACCAGAUUGUUAUAAAGCAAACCUUUCCGUAACAAUGGCCAAUGCCAACGGCACAAAUCUGAGAAAAUCAACUGCUUGCAUUAGCAUGCUUUGGUUUUGCUUUUCUUGGCUCUUGUUAUCACAAACUUCCACUUCCCUAGACACUCUCUCUCCAGGUCAAUCCAUCAAAGAUGGCGAGACUCUGGUCUCAAAAGGUGGAAUAUUCGAACUGGGAUUUCACAGACUAGGAAAUUCAAAUAAACGUUAUUUGGCAAUAUGGUACAAGGAAGCCACGGCCUUUUCAGUUGUUUGGGUUGCCAAUAGAGAAACCCCACUUCUUGAUUCUUCAGGAGUUCUGAGUUUCUCUAAGAAAGGACUUCUGGUCCUGCUCAAUGGAAAAAAUAGUACAGUUUGGUCAUCCAAUAAAACAACACCUGCACAGAGUCUGCUUAUGCAGCUCUUGGACACGGGAAAUCUUGUAGUAAAUGAUACCCAGUCGGUUAACUAUCUGUGGCAGAGUUUCGAUUCUCCUUGUGACACAUUACUCCCAGGAAUGAGAAUUGGACGAAAUUUCUCAACUCGUCAGGACAGAUUUCUAACAUCCUGGAAGAGCGCAAACGAUCCUGCUCCAGGUCAAUUUUCGCUGUGGAUAGAUCCUCGUGGGUUCCCGCAGCUUGUUCUUAGGAAUGGAACUGCUAUGCAUUAUAGACUUGGGUCGUGGAAUGGCCUUCGUUUCACGGGAACUCCUCAAUUGCCUGCACAAAUAGAAUUGUUCGAGUAUGAGUUUGAAUUGAACAACAACGGGGUGUAUUAUGAGUAUGAGGUCAAGGGAAACUUGAUGUCGAGGUUAUUUGUGAAUCGAUCAGGUUUCGUGGAGCGUUUUGCACGAGAAAACCAAUCAAAUGGUUGGAGAAAUUUAUAUUCAGCACCACUAGAUCAGUGCGACAAGUAUUCACUUUGUGGUGCACAUAUGAAAUGCGAUAUCAUAGGUGACCUGCCAAAUUGUGUUUGCCUGGAAGGCUUUGUAUCGAAAUCUCCUAAAAAUUGGAGUGCUGGAUGUGUUAGAAAGACCCCAUUAGAUUGCAAAGCUGGAGAUAUCUUUCGGAGUUAUACAGGGUUGAAGUUGCCGGACACAUCUGGUUCUUGGUACAAUAUGACCAUGAGCCUUGCAGAAUGCAAGGAAAUGUGCACAAGAAAUUGCAAUUGCACAGCGUAUGCAAAUUCAAACAUCAAGGGCAGCGGCUGCUUGCUAUGGUUUGGAGAACUGGCUGACAUGAGAGAGUAUAAUGACGGAGGGCAAAACAUUUACAUAAGGAUGUCCUCUUCAAAACCAGGUAUUAUCUUCAGAUUUUUCAUCAAAACAGUAUUGGUUGGUGCUUUCUUGAGCAGGAAACUAUUUCUCUAUAUUCAUUAUUUCCUCUUACCAUAUAAUCUAUCUAUUUUGAGGAGAAAAAAAAAAAAAAAGGAGAUGAGACUAGGGUGAGAGGAAAGAUAUUGGAAAAUGGUAGGGGCAGUAGAAGCUUUGCAGGAGUCUAUUGAUUGCUGACAUACUUGUUAUCUUUCAGAUCAAGCUAAGAAGAAGCAGAUAGGUAUCAUCGUCACGUCUGCGAUACUUGUGGGAAUGCUUGUGGUGGGAAUUAUAGUUUGCAUACAAAGGAGGAAAAAGAGCAUGCAAGGUAUCCAACUCUGAACAAUUCUUUCAAUUUAAUUACAUUCUUGAUAGAAUAUUCCACAGAAAUAAAUGAAAAAUUAUCUAUUUGCUGCUUAAUUGGCUUUGAAAUAAAGAAUAUAUUCAAUUAUCAAUACUUAUAAAUAUAAUGUUCCUACUACUUCAGGAAUGGCAAAUGACAUUCACAUGAAUGAUAACGAAAACAAUGAGGGAACGGAAGACAUGGAAUUGCUAACAUUUGACAUAACCACCAUAACAAAAGCCACAAAUAAUUUUUCAAGAGACAACAAGUUGGGGCAAGGUGGUUUUGGACCUGUAUACAAGGGAACAUUGCCUGGUGGGCAAGAAAUAGCAGUGAAAAGGCUUUCAAAAAAUUCUGGACAAGGGCAAACAGAGUUCAAAACUGAAGUUAUCUUGAUCUCCAAACUUCAGCACAGAAAUCUUGUUAGACUUCUUGGAUGUUGCUUUCAGAAAGAUGAAAAAAUGUUGAUCUAUGAGUUUAUGCCCAACAAGAGCUUAGAUUUUUUUAUUUUUGAUCAAAUGAGAAGCAAUUAUCUUGACUGGCCUAAGCGUGUCCACAUUAUUGGAGGAAUUGCUAAAGGGCUUCUCUAUCUUCAUCAGGACUCAAGACUAAGAAUUAUCCAUAGAGAUCUCAAGGCAAGCAAUGUGUUAUUAGAUAAGGACAUGAAUCCCAAAAUUUCAGACUUUGGUAUGGCUAGAAUUUUUGGA
rnacentral:misc_RNA from 1 species